rnacentral:tRNA from 1 species
GCCGGAGUGGUGAAACUGGCAGACGCGCGGGACUCAAAAUCCCGUGGGGUAUCCCCCCGUGCGGGUUCGACCCCCGCCUCCGGCACCA